rnacentral:tRNA from 1 species
GGAGGUGCAGCUCAGUGGUAGAGCAUGCAUUUAGCAUGCUGGAGGUCCUGGAUUCAGUCCCCAGUACCUCCA